CCUACGGGAGGCAGCAGUGGGGAAUAUUGGGCAAUGGGCGCAAGCCUGACCCAGCAAUGCCGCGUGAAGGAAGACGGCUUUCGGGUUGUAAACUUCUUUUAAGAGGGACGAGCAGAAGACGUUACCUCUUUAAUAAGCCACGGCUAACUACGGGCCUGCAGCCGCGGUAAUACGUCGGUGGCAGGCGUUGUCCGGCGUUACUGGGUGGAAAGGGCGUGCAGCCGGGAAGACAAGUCAGAUGUGAAAUCCCGGGGCUCAACCGCGGAACUGCAUUUGAGACUGUUUUUCUUGAGUACCGGAGAGGUCAGCGGAAUUCCUUGUGUAGCGGUGAAAUGCGUAGAUAUAAGGAAGAACACCAGUGGCGAAGGCGGAUGACUGGACGGCAACUGACGGUGAGGCGCGAAAGCGUGGGGAGCAAACAGGAUUAGAUACCCUUGUAGUC
rnacentral:rRNA from 1 species